rnacentral:rRNA from 1 species
CACGUAGGGCGCAAGCGUUGUCCGGAAUUAUUGGGCGUAAAGAGCUCGUAGGCGGUCUGUUGCGUCCGCUGUGAAAACUCGGGGCUUAACCCCGAGCCUGCAGUGGAUACGGGCAGACUAGAGGUAGGUAGGGGAGAAUGGAAUUCCCGGUGUAGCGGUGAAAUGCGCAGAUAUCGGGAGGAACACCGGUGGCGAAGGCGGUUCCCUGGGCCUUACCUGACGCUGAGGAGCGAAAGCCAGGGGAGCAAACGGG